CGUCGUUAAAAUAUAUUUUUUUUAUUAUUUAGUCGAAGUCGAACCGUAAGGCGCGUAGGUCUCUAACGAGCGUCGAAACGAAGAUCGUCGUUAAAGUAUAAAACUUGGAUCUUAGUUUCGACGCUCGUUAGGGACCUACGCGCCUUACGGUUCGACUUCGACUAAAUAAUAAAAAAAAUAUAUAUUUUAACGACG
rnacentral:pre_miRNA from 11 species